CCAGACUCCUACGGGAGGCAGCAGUGAGGAAUAUUGGUCAAUGGGCGGAAGCCUGAACCAGCCAAGUCGCGUGAGGGAAGAAGGCCCUGCGGGUCGCAGACCUCUUUGGACGGGGAGCAAGGCCGCCGACGUGUCGGCGGAAGGAGAGUACCCGUAGAACAAGCAUCGGCUAACUCCGUGCCAGCAGCCGCGGUAAUACGGAGGAUGCGAGCGUUAUCCGGAUUUAUUGGGUUUAAAGGGUGCGUAGGCGGAAUGCCAAGUCAGCGGUAAAAUCGCGGGGCUCAACCUCGCUCCGCCGUUGAAACUGGCGUUCUUGAGUGGGCGAGAAGUAUGCGGAAUGCGUGGUGUAGCGGUGAAAUGCAUAGAUAUCACGCAGAACUCCGAUUGCGAAGGCAGCAUACCGGCGCCCAACUGACGCUGAAGCACGAAAGCGUGGGUAUCGAACAGGAUUAGAUACCCUAGUA
rnacentral:rRNA from 1 species